rnacentral:rRNA from 1 species
CCUACGGGAGGCAGCAGUGGGGGAUAUUGCACAAUGGGGGGAACCCUGAUGCAGCGACGCCGCGUGGGUGAAGGAGUGCUUCGGCAUGUAAAGCCCUAUCGGCAGGGAAGAAGCAAGACGGUACCUGACUAAGAAGCCCCGGCUAACUACGUGCCAGCAGCCGCGGUAAUACGUAGGGGGCGAGCGUUAUCCGGAUUCCCUGGGUGGAAAGGGAGCGUAGACGGCCAAGCAAGCCAGGGGGGAAAGCCCGGGGCCCAACCCCGGGACUGCCCUUGGAACUGCAUGGCUGGAGUGCGGGAGGGGCAGGCGGAAUGCCUGGUGUAGCGGUGAAAUGCGUAGAUAUCAGGAGGAACACCGGCGGCGAAGGCGGCCUGCUGGACCGCGACUGACGUUGAGGCUCGAAAGCGUGGGGAGCGAACAGGAUUAGAUACCCCAGUAGUC